rnacentral:misc_RNA from 1 species
AAGAUGCCAGUGAGAAUGUGUUGCUGUUGUGCCUCUUUAGGUGAACAUUUGUAUAAGGGUUUUUUUUUUUUCCUUACUGGUCAUAUAAGUUGGUAGUUUUGUGAAUAAGGUAUUAUUAUGAAUUUAAGAAACAUAAGAAAAAUGUGUUCUUUGUUAUUGUUAUUUGGAGCUUAGUUAAAAAACAUUCAGCUUAAAUGGUAUUGGUUUUUGCUUACCCUUAUAUUAUUGUUGAGGUAGUCAAGUGUAUGUUAUUUACAAAAUAAAUACAAAGGAAGCAAGCUUUAUCUCUAAUUUUAGUUCUCAUU